CUGCUCAGGAUGAACCCUGNCGGCGUNCCUAACACAUCCAAGUCGAGCGAACCCCUUCGGGGGAGAGCGNCGGACGGNUGAGUAACGCGUGGGUAACCUACCCUGUACACACGGAUAACAUACCGAAAGGUAUACUAAUACGUGAUGACAUAUCGGACAGGCAUCUGUCAGAUAUCAAAGGUCAGCCGGUACAGGAUGGACCCGCGUCUGAUUAGCUAGUUGGUGAGAUAAAAGCUCACCAAGGCGACGAUCAGUAGCCGACCUGAGAGGGUGAUCGGCCACAUUGGAACUGAGACACGGUCCAAACUCCUACGGGAGGCAGCAGUGGGGAAUAUUGCACAAUGGGCGAAAGCCUGAUGCANCAACGCCGCGUGAGUGAUGAAGGUUUUCGGAUCGUAAAACUCUGUCCUCAAGGAAGAUAAUGACNGUACUGUGAGGAGGAA
rnacentral:rRNA from 1 species